rnacentral:rRNA from 1 species
UACGUAGGUGGCAAGCGUUGUCCGGAUUUACUGGGCGUAAAGAGCGCGCAGGCGGUCAAGUAAGUCGAAUGUGAAAGCCCCCGGCUCAACCGGGGAGGGUCAUUGGAAACUGGGGAACUUGAGUACUGAAGAGGAAAGCGGAAUUCCACGUGUAGCGGUGAAAUGCGUAGAGGUGUGGAGGAACACCAGUGGCGAAGGCGGCUUUCUGGUCAGUAACUGACGCUGAGGCGCGAAAGCGUGGGGAGCAAACAGG